UAUAUGGAGAGUUUGAUCCUGGCUCAGGACGAACGCUGGCGGCGUGCCUAAUACAUGCAAGUCGAGCGGACGGAUGGGAGCUUGCUCCCUGAAGUCAGCGGCGGACGGGUGAGUAACACGUGGGCAACCUGCCUGUAAGACUGGGAUAACUUCGGGAAACCGGAGCUAAUACCGGAUAAUUCUUUCCCUCACAUGAGGGAAAGCUGAAAGAUGGUUUCGGCUAUCACUUACAGAUGGGCCCGCGGCGCAUUAGCUAGUUGGUGAGGUAACGGCUCACCAAGGCAACGAUGCGU
rnacentral:rRNA from 1 species